GGUUGGGCUGUUCGCCCAUUAAAGCGGUACGCGAGCUGGGUUUAGAACGUCGUGAGACAGUUCGGUCCCUAUCCUCUGUAGCCGUAGGAGAUUUGAGAAAAGCUGUCCCUAGUACGAGAGGACCGGGAUGGACGCAGCUCUCGUGUGCCAGUUGUUCCGCCAGGAGCAUGGCUGGUUGGCGACCUGCGGAAAGGAUAAGCGCUGAAAGCAUCUAAGCGCGAAACCUGUUUCGAGAUGAGAUCUCCCACUGGAUAACCAGGUAAGGCCCGUGGCAGAACACCACGUUGAUAGGCCGGAUGUGUAAGCGCGGUGACGCGUUCAGCAGACCGGUACUAAUCGGCCGAGGGCUUGGGCUC
rnacentral:rRNA from 1 species